rnacentral:rRNA from 1 species
CUACGGGAGGCCGCAGUGGGGAAUAUUGCGCAAUGGGGGAAACCCUGACGCAGCGACGCCGUGUGAGUGAUGAAGGUUUUCGGAUCGUAAAGCUCUGUCAGGUGGGAAGAAUAAGGGCCGCGUAAAUAAUGCGGUUCGAUGACGGUACCACCAGAGGAAGCACCGGCUAACUCCGUGCCAGCAGCCGCGGAAUACGGAGGGUGCAAGCGUUGUUCGGAAUUACUGGGCGUAAAGCGCGUGUAGGCGGGUAUGCAGGUCAGAUGUGAAAGCCCUCGGCUCAACCGAGGAAGUGCAUCUGAAACCGCAUGUCUUGAGUACGAGAGAGGCAGAUGGAAUUCCCAGUGUAGAGGUGAAAUUCAUAGAUAUUGGGAAGAACACCGGUGGCGAAAGCGGUCUGCUGGCUCGAUACUGACGCUGAGACGCGAAAGCGUGGGGAGCAAACAGGAUUAGAUACCCUCGUAGUC